rnacentral:rRNA from 1 species
CGUAGACGAACGCUGGCGGCGUGCCUAAUACAUGCAAGUCGAACGAACUCUGGUAUUGAUUGGUGCUUGCAUCAUGAUUUACAUUUGAGUGAGUGGCGAACUGGUGAGUAACACGUGGGAAACCUGCCCAGAAGCGGGGGAUAACACCUGGAAACAGAUGCUAAUACCGCAUAACAACUUGGACCGCAUGGUCCGAGCUUGAAAGAUGGCUUCGGCUAUCACUUUUGGAUGGUCCCGCGGCGUAUUAGCUAGAUGGUGGGGUAACGGCUCACCAUGGCAAUGAUACGUAGCCGACCUGAGAGGGUAAUCGGCCACAUUGGGACUGAGACACGGCCCAAACUCCUACGGGAGGCAGCAGUAGGGAAUCUUCCACAAUGGACGAAAGUCUGAUGGAGCAACGCCGCGUGAGUGAAGAAGGGUUUCGGCUCGUAAAACUCUGUUGUUAAAGAAGAACAUAUCUGAGAGUAACUGUUCAGGUAUUGACGGUAUUUAACCAGAAAGCCACGGCUAACUACGUGCCAGCAGCCGCGGUAAUACGUAGGUGGCAAGCGUUGUCCGGAUUUAUUGGGCGUAAAGCGAGCGCAGGCGGUUUUUUAAGUCUGAUGUGAAAGCCUUCGGCUCAACCGAAGAAGUGCAUCGGAAACUGGGAAACUUGAGUGCAGAAGAGGACAGUGGAACUCCAUGUGUAGCGGUGAAAUGCGUAGAUAUAUGGAAGAACACCAGUGGCGAAGGCGGCUGUCUGGUCUGUAACUGACGCUGAGGCUCGAAAGUAUGGGUAGCAAACAGGAUUAGAUACCCUGGUAGUCCAUACCGUAAACGAUGAAUGCUAAGUGUUGGAGGGUUUCCGCCCUUCAGUGCUGCAGCUAACGCAUUAAGCAUUCCGCCUGGGGAGUACGGCCGCAAGGCUGAAACUCAAAGGAAUUGACGGGGGCCCGCACAAGCGGUGGAGCAUGUGGUUUAAUUCGAAGCUACGCGAAGAACCUUACCAGGUCUUGACAUACUAUGCAAAUCUAAGAGAUUAGACGUUCCCUUCGGGGACAUGGAUACAGGUGGUGCAUGGUUGUCGUCAGCUCGUGUCGUGAGAUGUUGGGUUAAGUCCCGCAACGAGCGCAACCCUUAUUAUCAGUUGCCAGCAUUAAGUUGGGCACUCUGGUGAGACUGCCGGUGACAAACCGGAGGAAGGUGGGGAUGACGUCAAAUCAUCAUGCCCCUUAUGACCUGGGCUACACACGUGCUACAAUGGAUGGUACAACGAGUUGCGAACUCGCGAGAGUAAGCUAAUCUCUUAAAGCCAUUCUCAGUUCGGAUUGUAGGCUGCAACUCGCCUACAUGAAGUCGGAAUCGCUAGUAAUCGCGGAUCAGCAUGCCGCGGUGAAUACGUUCCCGGGCCUUGUACACACCGCCCGUCACACCAUGAGAGUUUGUAACACCCAAAGUCGGUGGGGUAACCUUUUAGGAACCAGCCGCCUAAGGUGGGACAGAUGAUUAGGGUGAAGUCG